rnacentral:rRNA from 1 species
CAGCCGCCGCGGUAAUACGAAGGGUGCAAGCGUUACUCGGAAUUACUGGGCGUAAAGCGUGCGUAGGUGGUGGUUUAAGUCCGUUGUGAAAGCCCUGGGCUCAACCUGGGAAUUGCAGUGGAUACUGGGUCACUAGAGUGUGGUAGAGGAUGGUGGAAUUCCCGGUGUAGCGGUGAAAUGCGUAGAGAUCGGGAGGAACAUCAGUGGCGAAGGCGGCCAUCUGGGACAACACUGACGCUGAGGCACGAAAGCGUGGGGAGCAAACAGGAUUAGAUACCCGCGUAGUCCCUGUCUCUUAUAC